rnacentral:rRNA from 1 species
UGGGGAAUAUUGGACAAUGGGGGCAACCCUGAUCCAGCCAUGCCGCGUGGGUGAAGAAGGCCUUAGGGUUGUAAAACCCUUUCAGCGGGGAAGAUGAUGACGGUACCCGCAGAAGAAGCCCCGGCUAACUCCGUGCCAGCAGCCGCGGUAAUACGGAGGGGGCUAGCGUUGUUCGGAAUUACUGGGCGUAAAGGGCGUGUAGGCGGUUUGUCUAGUCAGGCGUGAAAGCCCCGGGCUCAACCUGGGAACUGCGUUUGAUACUGGCAGGCUAGAGGUUGGAAGAGGAGAGUGGAAUUCCCAGUGUAGAGGUGAAAUUCGUAGAUAUUGGGAAGAACACUAGUGGCGAAGGCGGCUUACUGGCUCGAUACUGACGCUGAGGUACGAAAGUGUGGGGAGCAAACAGGAUUAGAUACCCCUGUAGUCC